rnacentral:lncRNA from 10 species
AGGUGCCGUACGCGCGCCGCAGCUCCCGGCGCACGAAGUCCGGUAGCUGCAGAGGGGGGCCCCGCGCGCGCUCCACGCGGCCCCAGCGCAGCUCGGUUUGCAGGCUCCCGCCCUCCGGCCACGGCGCCCAGCUCUCGGCCACCGCCGCGGGCGCCUGCAGCGACAGUCCCGAGAUGCCGGCGGCGGCGCAGGGCCGGCGCAGGGUCGUGGCGUAGGCCGGAGGGCAGGCCCACCAGGGCGGCGCGGCCUCGGGUGGCGCGGCGGGGCCGUAGAAGCGGUGGUAUUCCCGUGGGGCCGCCCACUCGCCCGCAUGCAGGCUCCCGGGCCGGCUGCGGAAGCUGUGGGCCUGGACUGGGGGUAGCAGCAGAGGGGCGGCCAGGUAGGUGCAGGUGAGCAGCUGCGGCGGCGGCGGCCAGACGCCCUGUUUGGGCGGCGGCCAGCUGUACACAUACAUGGUCGGCCCCCCAGGCGGCUGCUGUUCUUACUGGGGGCUCCUGCGGAUCCAGACCUGCGGCGGAGGAAGGGAUAUGUAGACAGACUUUCUACUUAACCGCCUCCUGUCCCUGUGGGCCGGUUCCCCGGGACGCCGGUUCAUGGCUUUGGGGGAAUUCAUCCCAAAUCGAACAUUCAGCUCCCCGCCUAGCCUCUUGUCCCAAGGUCGGGCAGAGCCUCAGGCUCCCAGCAGACAAUAAGGAGCCUUUUCAAGCCCUCCGCCGGGAUGCUCUUCCCAGUGACUCCCCACUCACUUGUCUCCUUCAGCCUUGGGGAGCCGGCGGGAUCCAGAGCGGGGCUCCUCUCCGCACUUUGUAGCUGCGUUGCUCCGCUCCAUGCCCUGCCUCAGCCACUCCUCCUGGUUACCAGGCAAAAGGAAACACCUUGAGCUGGCCAGGAGCUACCAGCGUCUGUCUACACCUGGGUGAGCCGUACUGGUCGUAGUGGCCCCACCCUACAAGGAUGCCCUUCCUACAGUAUUACUGAUGGCUGUCUAAUCCGGUUAGCUCCCAGUCACUACACCCCAGCCUCCCAGCGCCUGCAGGUGGAUUGGGUUAUCCUCACAUUUGAGUGAAACUCCUGCACACCAGACACUGAAUCGAGUUGUCUGGGAGCAUCUAACUGCAAGUUAUGUCGAUCCGAGGAAGGGGGGUACUGAUAUUACCCCUGCUUUCCAUAGCAAAAAGCUGCUUGCCUCACAGUUGGUGUCCAGUGUAUUCAGUGACUGGAGCUUAUGUAGGUUAAAUAACUCAUCCCAACUCACACAGCUGGCUAUAGUAAGGGCAAAAUUCAACCCCCAGUCUGUCUCAAGACUCAGGCUCACAAUGUUGGUCUUAUUGCCCACCUGUGCAGGAGCUUCUCGCAGACUGUCUCGAAGUCCUCCCACUCUAGAAUGUUACAUAAGCGCUUUAAUUUUUUUUUUUUUUUUUUUGAGAUGGGGUCUUGCUCUGUUGUCUAGGCUGGAGUGCAGCGGCAUGAUCUCGGCACACUGCAGCCACCGUCUUCCAGGUUCAAGCGAUUCUCCCACCUCAGCCUCCCGAGGAGCUGGGAUUACAGGUGCACCACCACCUCCUGCUAAUUUUUGUAGUUUUAGUAGAGACGGGGUUUUCACUAUGUUGGCCAGGCUGGUCCCGAACUCCUGACCUCAGGUGAUCCACCCUCCUUGGCUUCCCAAAGUGCUGAUUUUACAGGCGUGAGCCAUCGCGCCCGGCUGCUUUAAAUUCUUUUCUUCCUUUUUUUUUUUUUUUUUUUUGAGACAGAAUCUUGCUCUGUCGCCCAGGCUGGAGUGCGGUGGCACGAUCUUGGCUUACUGCAACCUCUGCCUCCCAGCUUCAAGCGAUUCUUCUGCCUCAGCCUCCCAAGUAGGUGGGACUACAGGCGUGCCCCACCACACCUGGCUAAUUUUUGUAUUUUUUAGUAGAAAUGGCGUUUCACCAUAUUGGCCAGACUGGUCUUGAACUCCCAACCCCGUGAUCCGCCCACCUUGGCCUCCCAAAGUUUUGGGAUUACAAGGAUGAGCUACUGCGCCCGGCCUACUUUAAAUUCUUAAUAGCUAUGUGAAGUGCAUAGUGAUGUCAUGCUCUUUUAGUAGAUAAGGAACCAGAGGCUCAGAGAAGUUAGGCCACUGUCCCAGGUUCACACAGCCUGUAAGUACCACAGUGGAAUUUGAACCCAGUCCAACUGAUGUCAAAGGCCAGAAGCCAUUUGAGUGAAGGCAGGAAGAUUGCUUCAUCCAGAUGGGGUGAGCCCUGUCUGAGUUCCAGUCCCUUCUGGUGUGGGUCACAACCCCUGCACCUCUUCCUUCUCCAGUGGGGAGAGUGGUAGUUAUGGAUGAUUAAAACUGAAACCGUCUCCCAGCUGCAGGGCUGCCAUGUUGCCACACUUUCCUUCCCCAUCUCCUGUUGACUGAAGCAGUAUCACCAGCAGCCCUGACAGAAAGGUUCUUCUGGGUUCUCAGUAUCCCUCAAAACUCAGCUACCCUCUGGUGGUGGCCACCAUUUGGUGACUCACCCUGGUGAUGUCAUGCUAUUCGUGACUGAGCCACUGCUCCAAGUCUUAAUUCGGGCCAGUCCUUUUGAAGGCAGGUGCUGGGGCUGGGCUGUGGAUGGAAAAAAGGGGCCUGGUUAGGGUUUCAUUUGGACUCUAACACUGUCAUAGAAACCCAGAUUCAGGCUGGUGAACCUGAUGCACAGCUAAGGCCAAACAGUGGGAGAUAGAGAAAGGUUUAUUUGAUUUGGCCAAAGUGAGAAGGCGGGAGAGCAAAUCUCUCAAAUCCCUAUUAACAGAAAAAAAGCAGCAGGGUGGCUUACACCUGUAAUCCUAGCACUUUUGGAGGCUGAGGCAGGUGGACUGCUUGAGCUCAGGAGUUCGAGAUCAGCCUGGGCAACAUGGUGAAACACCGGCUCUAC